rnacentral:rRNA from 1 species
UACGUAGGGUGCAAGCGUUGUCCGGAAUUAUUGGGCGUAAAGAGCUUGUAGGCGGUUUGUCGCGUCUGCUGUGAAAAUCCGGGCUCAACCCCGGACUUGCAGUGGGUACGGCAGACUAGAGUGUGGUAGGGGAGACUGGAAUUCCUGGUGUAGCGGUGGAAUGCGCAGAUAUCAGGAGGAACACCGAUGGCGAAGGCAGGUCUCUGGGCCACUACUGACGCUGAGAAGCGAAAGCAUGGGAGCGAACAGG